rnacentral:rRNA from 1 species
CUACGGGAGGCAGCAGCAAGGAAUUUUCCGCAAUGGGCGAAAGCCUGACGGAGCAACGCCGCGUGGGGGAGGACGCUUUUCGGAGUGUAAACCCCUUUUCUUCGGGAAGAUGAUGACGGUACCGGAGGAAGAAGGACCGGCUAACUACGUGCCAGCAGCCGCGGUAAUACGUAGGGUCCGAGCGUUGUCCGGAGUUACUGGGCGUAAAGCGCGCGCAGGUGGUUCCCUAAGCCCGGCGUGAAAGCCCCCGGCUCAACCGGGGAGGGUCGUCGGGGACUGGAGAACUUGAGGGCGGCAGGGGCUGGUGGAAUUCCCGGUGUAGUGGUGAAAUGCGUAGAGAUCGGGAGGAACACCCGUGGCGAAGGCGGCCAGCUGGGCCGACCCUGACACUGAGGCGCGAAGGCGUGGGGAGCGAACGGGAUUAGAAACCCGUGUAGUCC